UACGUAGGGUGCAAGCGUUAAUCGGAAUUACUGGGCGUAAAGCGUGCGCAGGCGGUUAUGUAAGACAGAUGUGAAAUCCCCGGGCUCAACCUGGGAACUGCAUUCGAGACUGAAUAGCUAGGGUACGGUAGAGGGAAGUGGAAUUUCCGGUGUAGCGGUGAAAUGCGUAGAUAUCGGAAGGAACACCAGUGGCGAAAGCGGCUUCCUGGUCCAGCACCGACGUUCAGGCACGAAAGCGUGGGGAGCAAACAGG
rnacentral:rRNA from 1 species